GACGAACGCUGGCGGCGUGCUUAACACAUGCAAGUCGAACGGAAAGGCCCUGCUUGCAGGGUGCUCGAGUGGCGAACGGGUGAGUAACACGUGGGUGAUCUGCCCCUUACUUUGGGAUAAGCCUGGGAAACUGGGUCUAAUACUGGAUAGGACCAUGCUGUAGGUGGUGUGGUGGAAAGAUUAGUUUCGGUAAGGGAUGAGCUCGCGGCCUAUCAGCUUGUUGGUGGGGUAAUGGCCUACCAAGGCGUCGACGGGUAGCCGGCCUGAGAGGGUGGACGGCCCCGUUGGGACUGCGAUGCGGCCCAGACUCCUACGGGAGGCAGCAGUGGGGAAUAUUGCACAAUGGGCGCAAGCCUGAUGCAGCGACGCCGCGUGGGGGAUGACGGCCUUCGGGUUGUAAACUCCUUUCAGCCAUGACGAAGCCCUUGUGGUGACGGUAGUGGUAGAAGAAGCACCGGCUAACUACGUG
rnacentral:rRNA from 1 species